AUGAAUUUCCACUGGCUCGCUCCUCUGACUGUAACAGCGCUGCUCACAGCUCAGGAUUGGAGUUUCAGCUGUUUUCCCUGCUCCAUGGAAUCCGAGUUAGAAGGUCACAGAAACCGGACUUUUCCGAGGAGGAGGGUUUCUGGCGGCCUAAGGGAGAUUGCAGCAAGAAUCUGGGUCCACUGGAGGAGGCCUUUCUGCCCCAGGCCUGGGGCUGCAGGUUCACUGCUGGGGUCCCCUGGCCUUCUAUCUAAGCGUGCAGGGCUGCCUUCCUCGAGGCCCAAUCUGUCCUUCCCAGAGGUUCCUCGAAGUUCAAGAGAAGGGGUCGUUGUUUGAGCCACCGUGUCGCCUAGCGAAGAGCACCUCCCUUGCCUGAGGGGCUCAACAAACAAAUGUGUCGUGUCGGCUGAAUGAAAAUUAAGAUUUCAGUGUUAGGCGGAGAGAGUGUUUUAUUUUUCCCCCUUUCUGGCCUUUCUGUCCCUCCUGCUGAGCGCACACAGCUCGCAGCCCGGCCGAGGGGCAGGUGCCAGGAGACCGGGCCGCACAAUUCCUGGGGUCCCGGUGCCCGCCCCCCCGCCCGCCCGCGCGGAAGAGCUCCACGG
rnacentral:lncRNA from 1 species